rnacentral:lncRNA from 1 species
UUAUUUAUUUACUUUUUUAUUUAUUUACUAAUUUAUUUACUUAUUUAUUUUUUUACUUUUUUAUAUGUGUCUUUCAAAUAUAAUACAUAUUGUUUAUUUUACUUUAUGUUUUUUAGGGGAUUUAGAAAUAACAAUAAUACAAGAAGCAGAAAUCGUUUUAGUAACAACAUCACUAGGAGGUAUAAAGACAUCAUUUUUUUCAUCAUUAAGAGCAUCCAACUUAUUAAAUUGUAAAAAAUAUUUAUAUUUUAUAAUAGACACAAACAGAGACACAGGAACAGCAAAAAACUUAAAAGAUACAGAAUUGUUUAAUAAAUGGAAAGAUGAUAAUUUACUUGCUUCGAAUGAAAAUGGAAUUAUUUUACCUCAAAUUUUAAUUGAUGGUGUCUCAAUAGGAAAUGAUAUAACAUUACAAAACUUGGAGGACGAAGGUCUUUUGGAUUUAAUUAUAUCUAGACAAAAAUGUCCCAAAUGCUUGAGUGAUAAAUCUAACACUGAUAUUACUUGUCCUAAUUGUAAUUGUGAUUACGUUAGUUUGAUUUCAGAUGAAUUAAUUAAAACUAAUGGUGUAAUCAGAUUAUUACAAGGAGAAUUAUAUAAUGCAGAUAAUGAAUUUAAUGAAAACGAGGAUUAUAUUUAUAAUUAAAAUAUAUAUAAUAUGACAUUUUGAAACAUAUAAAAAAAAAAAAAAAAAUACAUAUCUUAUGUAUAUAAUCGUUUUAACCUAUUAACACAUUUUUUUUUAGAUUAUAACCAAAGUAUACUUCAAAAAUCAUUUAUACAAAAAAAAUAAAAUAAAAAUAAUAAAGUUUAAUUUAUAAAUA